UGAUAACUAAGUCAUAGCCUCCCAUUAAGUGAGUGAUAAUGAGUCCAUUAGUUUAAUAAUCAUUAGAGGCCCAAAGGCCUGAUGCUUAUUGACUAAUGGAAUUAUCAUUCAUAAUAUGAUAAUUUGGUUUGAGUCUUUCUGAUGGUGAUCAGGUUGGUCGGCCAAAGUCGGGCCUGAUCAUUUAUUGGUCCGAUUCACCAAAUCAAGUCAUGUUAAUGGUUGGACCUAACC
rnacentral:lncRNA from 1 species